rnacentral:lncRNA from 1 species
AGGUGAUGGAAGUGGGAGGGGGGAGGAGGCGGCCGUGCCGCCAGAAGGGGGAAGAGGUUGGAGGGGUUGAAGAGGACCAUGCCCUCGAAGAGGGAGCCGCUGGAGUCGGCCGGACUGUUUUGAAAAAUAAUUAUGGUGUUAGUGAAGAGGCCGGGGGAAGGAAAAAAAAAAACUGCUGGAGGAUAUUACCUUGUCCGGUGGCUAACCUUCGUUGGCUCUGAGAUGGACGAUAUCCUCAUGAUCAGUGAUCUCAUUCAGGCUGAUGGGAGGAGCUGAAAUGAGUAUCUGAUGACUCAUUUCUUUGAUGGCCAGU